UUGUAACCGUUUGGUUCCAAUAUUUACUUGCUGGCUCCACCGCAAGUCCAUUUCUCCCCCUUUUCCCCUACAAUACUAGGAACGUACACACUCACUUGAUGCAAAACACGAGUGAGUGCGUGUUCCACCUUCACACCCUACCAAGUGACAGACAAUCCGAGCAGUUUGAGCUCGAGCAAAAGACCGGACAGCCCUGUUGUCGUUGUGUUCACUCACAGAGGGCACCACAUGUACAACAGGGUGGGCAAACCAAAACAUAACAAAAUGCGAGCAUAGCCGUUACAAUGCAACAUUAUGCUAAAAUGCGUGAUAAAAAGGGAGUCGGGACGGGGGCAAAUUCUCUUUGUACCGUGAUCCUCCAAAGAAUUAGUAGUGCGCGCGUGUUUAAUUGUUAAAUGUUGAGGAUCCGUGUCGUUAGAAAUGUAAAAUCGUUAAAAUGUUUAGGACGAAAAUGUAAUAGUGCCGAGAGAUUGUUAAAGUGUCAGUUUGUUAAAAUAACAAAAGCACGAAAACGACAAAUAAGAACGAAAACGACAAACAAGAACGAUAAACGAAAAACAAGAUAAAAUAGAGCAGAAAAAGGUAAAUUUAGAGGUUAGGAAGUGGGACGUUGCUGGGUAUUAAUCCGUGGUGCCCAGGCCCGUGUCAAUGGGCCUUUUUCUUUUGUCCUUUUUCCUGAGAGUGGUUCCGGUGAUGUGCCUCCCGGACGAGCGAGCCCUGUGAACGAGUGACGGAUGAGUGACCAUUAUAAUUCCCGGACGAUUGUGCAGUGACUCCGGCAACAAGAUGGCCGGAUUGAGCCUGUAGACCUGCGGCCUGCCCGUACACAGUAACGCGGCGUUCUCGGUCCGCCAUUGCGAAUCCCCGAGCUACUUCUCCAAGCCAUCGCCAUCUUCCGUAAACCGUAUUCCAGUAUAACCGUAAGUUACACCCGCCCACUUCAACAAGUUCAGGCCGAGUCGGCCAACCAUAGCCAUUUCCCACCUCACGGGUGGCGAGACCACCGAAAAUUCCGACCACGACAAUUGUUUGUAGCAUGCCCAGUACCCUAAAGUGACGUCCCGAAUAAAAUUGUAAAAGCUAGCUUCAGUGUAGCGAAUUAUUGAAAAGAGCCUCCCAGAGUAAUUAGGCCUUUCACCAAUUUCCCUUUUUGCGUCGUCUUCCGGGUUCAGAAAGGAACCGCUCAAGCCUCGUUCCUUCGAGGAUCAUUGUGUGCUUAGAUACCCCCCCCCCCCUUUCCGCUUCUAGUUUGCCUGCCCAUAGUAUGUGUCCUCUGUGAGCCGAGCUUCCGCGGAAUCUAGUUUGCUCCUGCUCGGAUUGAUAAUCUAGAUCUUGGCUAUGGGUGUGAUAGUAAUGUCCUUAAACGACCCUGCAGAUUCCAAUCCCCUAUGCCGUGAGCUAGCGA